GAUUGCAUUUUCAGGUGCUGCUGUGAUGGAUUUGUCAGGAUAUUCGGAGAAGGGUUUCAAGAGAAAACUUGAAGUACAAGCUCUGUUUGGGAAGGUUUUUAAAUCUUUCUAAGCUGCCUGAGUUCAAGGGAUAGCUCGAUAACUGUCAAAGAAAUAUUUGGAGUUGCUGAUGAGGAUGCAGAAAAUAUCAGGUUACACACAGUUUCAGAAGCUGGGGAUCUGGAUUCACUGGAGAAAAUGAUUGAUUGGUCAGAAUCUGAAAAUUCUCCAGAUGAAUCAUCCAAUGCUUCGUGAUUCUCACCAAAUAUGCAAAAUUUUGGCAAAAUUGUGGUGGGAUAUAAUGCAAAUGCAGUAGGAUCAAGGAAUGCUCGGAUACUAUAAUGUCUUGAGUACAGUCAUAGUUGGACAGGUUCGAGCUUACUAUUUACCUAGUUUGACAGCUGCAAUUAAAGUUUUCUAGAUUAUUCUGUUUGAUCA